rnacentral:rRNA from 1 species
AGCGGCGGACGGGUGAGUAACGCGUGGGUAACCUGCUCAUACAGGGGGAUAACAGUUAGAAAUGACUGCUAAUACCGCAUAAGACCACGGUACCGCAUGGUACAGUGAUAAAAACUCCGGUGGUAUGAGAUGGACCCGCGUCUGAUUAGGUAGUUGGUGGGGUAACGGCCUACCAAGCCGACGAUCAGUAGCCGACCUGAGAGGGUGACCGGCCACAUUGGGACUGAGACACGGCCCAG